GAGGGAAGAAGAGCUGAGCUGCGUGUGUCCAGUUCCUCCCCCACGCCCACCAGAACACACCCCUGGAUUCUGUGAAGGGGCCACAGCGACUCUAAUAAGGGCCCCUCCAAAAGGAAAGAGGAAUCGGAAAUGGGACCUUAGCGUCUCUGUCCUGUACAGUAUUUCCCAGUUUUUAUUCUUUUAGCCUGUACAACAUCCCAACCAGUCUAUGGCUAGUUGGGGCGCUGCUGUGCAGGGGAUGGAGGUGAGGAGCCUGUCAUGGGAUCCUGGUGGAUCAGAAAUGUUGCUGGAUAAGGAUGUCUGGCUGUCACUGUUAGCUGAUAUGCAGAGACGGGGAUAGGUCCACUGAACUUUAUUUGUCAGAAGGCCAAGAUUCUGGAGAAAGACAAACCAACCAUGAGCUGUGGGUGCUGCUGAAGGAAGGUUCCAUGGGGGAGACCAUGAUAGAGACUGCAAGCUGCCUACAACUGGUGUGUAAUGGCCCUGUGUAGGCUGCCACAAGCCACCAAGGAAAGGGUCACCAGAGCCACCUUGGCUUGAAGCCACGCCAUAGGCCACAUCAGAUGUUUGCAUACUCCAGGUAUAUUUGCCCCACAGAUUCCACUCCUUACCACUCCCAUCUUCCCCAGCUGAGUUCUGAACAAUUCAGAGAAAGGGCAAGAGUAGGCAGAAAUGUAACCAGAGUGUGUAGCUGGAGUGUUACCUGUAUUCCUGCAGUUGGACGUUGGAGGAUGUGUCAUGGGCGUGCGGAAGACAGUUUCCUGGCUGUGAAUGCCAGAGUCAGGCAGGCUCCCACAUCCAGGUCUGGGCAAUGUGGGGCUGUAUAGGCUUCUCUAUGUGGGCACUGGCCCUGGAGAAUUCGGGGAAGCCUGCGGCUGCUUGCUUCCUGUUCAUGACCUGGCCCCUAAGAGAAAGAACAGGAGCCCGGGACCAACCCCUGCAAACUCAGCUCCUUUGUGAAACUCAAGGUAAGGUCCUGAUGCCUCCUCCCUUGAGAGUGAGGGUUUGGAGUGUCCUCAUGAAGGAGGAGCAAGAACCAAGUGUUACCUCCCACAAAACAAACAAUUCUGGUAAUUUCUAUCAAUUGUACUACAACUUGUAUUGUUACUGUUGUGUUCAGUUCUUUAGGGGGUAGUUGGGCUGUGGUCAUAGUUGAGUACCACUGGGCUACCUCCAUGGGCGCCAGGCCCCAGAGGGCAGGUCCAGAGUCUUUUUUUUUCUUUCUGAGACAGUCUCACUCUGUCAUC